GUAGGUGGCAAGCGUUGUCCGGAAUUAUUGGGCGUAAAGCGCGCGCAGGCGGUCCUUUAAGUCUGAUGUGAAAGCCCACGGCUCAACCGUGGAGGGUCAUUGGAAACUGGGGGACUUGAGUACAGAAGAGGAAAGCGGAAUUCCAAGUGUAGCGGUGAAAUGCGUAGAGAUUUGGAGGAACACCAGUGGCGAAGGCGGCUUUCUGGUCUGUAACUGACGCUGAGGCGCGAAAGCGUGGGGAGCAAACAGGGAUUAGAUACCCUGGUGGUCCACGCCGUAAACGAUGAGUGCUAAGUGUUAGGGGGUUCCCCGCCCCUUAGUGCUGCAGCUAACGCAUUAAGCGCUCCGCCUGGGGAGUACGGCCGCAAGGCUG
rnacentral:rRNA from 1 species